UACAGAGGUCCCAAGCGUUGUUCGGAUUCAUUGGGCGUAAAGGGUGCGUAGGUGGCGCGCUAAGUCGGGUGUGAAAUUUCGGAGCUUAACUCCGAAACUGCAUUCGAUACUGCCGUGCUUGAGGACUGGAGAGGAGACUGGAAUUUACGGUGUAGCGGUGAAAUGCGUAGAUAUCGUAAGGAAGACCAGUGGCGAAGGCGGGUCUCUGGACAGUUCCUGACGCUGAGGCACGAAGGCCAGGGGAGCAAACGGG
rnacentral:rRNA from 1 species